GAUGAACGCUGGCUACAGGCUUAACACAUGCAAGUCGAGGGGAAACGCCGGGGCAGCUUGCUUCCCUGGGCGUCGACCGGCGCACGGGUGAGUAACGAGUAUCCAACCUGCCCCUGACUGAGGGAUAACCCGUCGAAAGUCGUCCUAAUACCCCAUGGUAUCGUCUGCGGGCAUCCAACGACGAUUAAAUAUUUCAUCGGUCAGGGAUGGGGAUGCGUCUGAUUAGCUUGUUGGCGGGGUAACUGCCCACCAAGGCUACGAUCAGCAUGGGUUCUGAGAGCAAGGUCCCCCACAUUGGAACUGACACACGGACCACACUCCUACGGGAGGCAGCAGUAAGGAAUAUUGGUCAAUGGGCGAGAGCCUGAGCCAUCCAAGUAGCGUGCAAGAAGGCCGCCCUAUGGGUUGUAACCUGCUUUUAUGCGGGGAUGAAGUGAGGGACGUGUCCCACAUUGCAGGUACCGCAUGAAUAAGGACCGGCUAAUUCCGUG
rnacentral:rRNA from 1 species